GUAUCUUUAUUAGAUUUCAUAUGUACAAGAAUCAUAUAUAAAGUAUAGAUAAAAUGAACCCCCAUGAAGAGAGAUGACAUGAAAGUGAUUUACUUUAAGAAUUUAAGGUGAACUUUUCUAAGUUAUAAGUAGACUUUGUUGAUAGCUGGUGGAAAGUAAUAAGAUUUGUUUACCUGUUAUUAGUAGUAAAUAUGUUGUUCAGGUCUAUUAAAUUCCUAAUAAAAGAAGACAUAAAGUUUUGAAAUUUUUAUUAAUUACCGAGUGGCUGCAGAACAGUAUUUAGAUAAUACAUAUACAAUAUGAGAAUAGCAAUACUGCAGAUAACCCCUUGCCACCCGGUAGAAGGAAAGAAAUGUCCUUGGAAGUUCCUGAUGCAUCCUCCAUAUCUCCUCCCAGCGUUACUACUUCAGAGAGAACCACUAGUCCAAAACGUUAUGCUUAACACCCCUUGUUUUUCUGUAUGGUUAUCACAUAUGUUUGCAUCUCCAUAUAGUACACUGUAUGGUUUUGCAUAGUUUUGAACUCUGUAUAAAUGCAAUUUUGAAAUGUAUGUAAAUUCAAUAAAUCUGCAAGUUGCUUUUUUUCACUUAGUAUUCUAUCAUAUUCAUGAGUUUUAGCCAUUUUACUGUGUGUUCCUGUGGGUGCAUGGCUUAUUGUUUUCACUGCUGCAUUUAUUGCAUGAAUGGAUAAUUUAUUUACCCAUUUUACUGAUAAAGGACAUUGCCAUUA